rnacentral:sRNA from 2 species
AAGAUAUAGGGGAUUAGAUUAUAUAUAUAUUGGAAGAAUUAGGCCGGGAGAAUCGGGGAAGUGGGAGGAAGACUAGAUGAGCCUGAUAUAUACAACUCCAUCAAAAAUGACGGAGCAUGUGCAUGUAUUUACAACUCGCAAAAUGAAAUAUAUGCGCAGCGAUGGUAUAAGGAUCCAAGGUUCAACACCAGCAUCAUCAUGACCAUAAAUAUAUCCCAGACCGAAUUUCAAAACUAUAAAAACUAAAACAUAAAAUCACAGCCUCGACUUUGCCGCCGGCGCCGGCAGUCUAUUUGUUGGUAACCCGAGCGGAUCAUAAACCGCCAACCCCAGCGAAUCCACCGGAUUUGGCACAGUCUUCACCGCUAGGCCCCUGGCAUCAACCAAGUCUGGACACAACUGGCCAAUAUUCGAACAUCCGAUCAGCCGCAUAUUCAUAACCGUCUCAUCUUUCAACAGCUGCAUAGCCCGCUCGACGCCAGGCACCCCAUACGCGCUCAUCGCAUACAGGAACGGCCGCCCG